rnacentral:snRNA from 9 species
AUACUUACCUGGUAGGGGGGACACCAUGAUCAGGCAGGUGGUUUUCCCAGGGUGAGGCUCAUCCCCUGCACUAUUUUUUUUUUUUAAGAUCAUGGAGCAGAUCCUCCUGGA